UACGGAGGGUGCAAGCGUUAUCCGGAAUCACUGGGUUUAAAGGGUGCGUAGGCGGUCUUGUAAGUCAGUCGUGAAAUCGCUGGGCUCAACCCAUGCAAUUGCGAUUGAUACUGCAGGACUUGAAUUAGGUUAAGGCAGGCGGAAUGUGACAUGUAGCGGUGAAAUGCAUAGAUAUGUCAUAGAACACCGAUUGCGAAGGCAGCCUGCUGGGCCUUGAUUGACGCUGAGGCACGAAAGCGUGGGGAGCAAACAGG
rnacentral:rRNA from 1 species